GUGUCUCAACCUUUACCGCACUUUUAUCUGCCUAAAGGUAUCUUCACGCACGACUGGAUAGGCCUUUUGGAUACGCUUGUCCAAGGCCCAAGACAUAAAGUCUCCUGAAAGCUGUGUAGCAAUCAUUCCAUUGCUGACCCAUAGGAUGGUAAUCACAUACAUGAUUGGCUUCAUCUAGAAUCAUGGAUACCUUUCAUACCUUCUCAUCACAAGUUGGAACUAGUGGUCAACAUUGGGACAAUGCAGCCAUAAAUAACAUGGACCAAUAUUUUCAUGGAGUGAGCAAGACCUGCCAGCAGAGCUCACUGGAGCAGGGAGACAUGCCAUCAUCCUUUUGGCGCCUGACAAAGUACACUUUUUUUCUUCUAAAUAACACGAUAGUAACAUCUUCUGCACAAAGUUACAUUCCUAAUUAGAUUGGUGUUAAGUGAGAAAGAAUCCUAAAGAUGGUCCAAUGGGCAUGGUCUGAAGCCUCUCGUCAUCUCAGUGUGUUGAACCACCUGAUUUCUUGCAGGCUUGAGAUUCAGAUUUUGCUGAACGAUGUUAAGCAUUCAAUUAACCACAUGCAGGGGACGCUGAACACCAUGCAGGGGCAGUGUAUUGAGUUGCAGACUGCCAUGUCUAAGGUAGUGUCAGAUGAGUCUCAGAUACAGAAGAAUAAGUCUAUGAUGGUAUGGUGAUAAUGAUUGAGAUGGUGAUUAUAAUAAUGAUGACUAGCGGUACCCCACCCUACGGGCUGUAAAUCAUUGGAUCUGAUUAAUUCAAUUCAAUGCAAUUCAAUCUUUGAGGAUUGCAACCAUAGAAAUACAAUUUCUUUACACUAAUAAUAAGCUAUUGUCAACUUCCCGUCUAUGCUUAUCUUGCUCAUUGCUCACUGUCAAUUGCUGACUGUUACCCUAUGAGUGCAACUAUUAUUGAUUUCUCACAGAAAAAUAAUUUGGUUGCAAAUGUACCUGGGGCCAUGUAAAUAAUUGUUAGGCUACUCAUUUUGAAUCCACCGGUGGCAACUUGUGUGACCAUAAAAGUCUGUGUGCGACUGGGCACAGUAAAAUAAUUUGGUUACUGACCUGCCCUACAUCAUA